GUUGACCUCGGAUCAGGUAGGAA
rnacentral:ncRNA from 12 species